UAGUGCCUGUGAAAAGAAAACAAGUCAAUUAUGUUAAGGGACUGAAUGAUCUUGAGCUGUAAUAGAAAUCUUCAUAGUUGCCAAGUGGUCCUUACUGUGGGCUUGAUGCUUGGCAUUGUCUUACUGAAUUCAUUUCUUAUCUGCCAGACAAUUUGGAGAGAAGCUUGAUUAGAUGCAAAUAUAAUGCAUAUUUUUGUAGCUGAUAUACAAACUGAAGGAUCAUCAAAUGGGUAGUCUUGCCACCAUACUGAGCCACUCCCAUCGAUGGUGCCUUUUCCCUGAAUUGUAAUUCCUUUAAGCUUUGUGAAUUCAAUCCACCACAGAAGACCUUUACCCCAAAUGUUGGAGUUUGUUGGAGCAAUAAUUGUGCCAUCCAGCUGAGAAAAAUUCAACUAAUCAGUUUAUCAGUAUUGAGUGCAUUACUGUAGUUCUCUUCUGUAUGAAUUUCUGCUGCUCCAACUCUUCUCUUUACAAUAGCGUACUCGUGUGGGAUGUAUAAUUGCACAUCAGACAUCUAAAACAGACAUAGUAUGGACCAGAGAAAGAAAUAGGUCCCACAAGGAAUACAUAUUCUGAUGGAACGAGCACCUUUGAUGCCUCCACCUUACAAGCAGCUGCCCAUGCAGAUUGGAAUGCCUGCGAUGCACCAUAACACACCAUACUUUACUAGGUAACAAUGAAUAUAUGCUGAGAACUACAGUUGGUUUUGGUGUUGGGUUCAUGGGUUGUGCCUAAGCCUAACUGUAUACGAUUAUUGUUGGGAGUUGGGACCAUGAACAAACUGCUGCAACGAGAUUUUUUUUUUUCAGGGGUGGGGGGAGUGGCCCCCACCUUGAGUUAGUUUUGUGCUUCUGUUGUUUUUUACAUUUGUAUGCUAUUUACUUGUUAGGUUUCCCUUGUUGUUUUCACGUGUAAGCUUUCUAAACCUGAGGCAAAUCAAAUUGUUUUAUAAUAAUAUUAUGGUAAGGUCUAGAUAUGUAUUCUUCA